rnacentral:rRNA from 1 species
GGGCUGCAGUAUAUUGACUGUACAAAGGUAGCAUAAUCAUUAGUCAUUUAAUUGAUGACUUGUAUGAAGGAUUGGAUGAAAUAUAAACUGUCUCUUAAUUAUUAAAUAGAAUUUAAUUUUUUAAUUAAAAAGUUAAAAUAUAUUAAAAAGACGAGAAGACCCUAUAGAUUUUUAUAAAAAAUUUAGUUAAUAUUAUUUAUGAAAAAUUAAAAUUAAAAUUAAAUUUAUUUAUUGUAUUGGGGUGAUAGAAAAAUAUAAAAAACUUUUUAUAUAUUAAAACAUUUAUAAGUGGUUAAAUGAUCCAAUAUUAUUGAUUAUAAGAAAAAAUUACCUUAGGGAUAACAGCGUAAUUUUUUUUUUUAGUUCGUAUAAGAAAAAGAGUUUGCGACCUCGAUGUUGGAUUAAGAUAAAAUUUAAAUGCAGAAGUU